rnacentral:misc_RNA from 1 species
GGAAGUAAAUAUAAUCUUUUGCCUUUGUUUUUGAAUUUACAGAUAUGAGUUUCUUGAGAGAGGGUGCUUACAUGAGGAUCUGUAGGGCUAAUUUAUUUUUCUUGCACUGGCUUUGCUCGAUCAUGGGUGUCAAGUCUUGUUUCAGUGAUGUGUUUGGGUUCUCUUGCUUAGGUUGCUUUGGAUCUAUGGCAAACGAGUUCUCACUUUUAGUUGGCGUGGUACCUCUUGGAGACAGUAUCGAUGUCAUUCUUAUAGCUUCUAGUCUCUUAUCAGCCAUGGACCUACAAGGGCUCUGCCUCUUUACCCGUCUCUCUCCCUCAAAUCGAUUUUAUCAAACUUGCAGUUGUCCAAGGGAUGGUUUGUAAAGGGUGUGAAGAUUUCUUAAGCUACUCUUGAUCUCAAUGGUUACUAUUCUUUAUGCGGUUGUUGAGACUUCCCCCUCUGAGCUUCAAAGAUGAUGUUUUCUCCUCUAACCAUGGUUGACUUGAUGAUAUUGAUGGUGGGGAUGAGCAAGCUUCUGAUCUGGGUCAAUUUUUGUGAGUUGGAGCCACCCGAAUCCUUAGAACUUUUCUAGAUGUGGGUUGAGUUUCUCUAUGGUCUUUUAGCUUUCUUUUAUAGAUUAGGUGGCUUUUUUUGUCCAUGGUUUUAUGUAUUUGGCUUUUGGCCUCUAUAUAUUACUUCUUCAGUCCUUAAUGAAUUAUAGCUUUCAG